rnacentral:rRNA from 1 species
AUUGAACGCUGGCGGCAUGCCUUACACAUGCAAGUCGAACGGCAGCACGGGAGCAAUCCUGGUGGCGAGUGGCGAACGGGUGAGUAAUAUAUCGGAACGUGCCCAGUCGUGGGGGAUAACGUAGCGAAAGCUACGCUAAUACCGCAUACGAUCUAUGGAUGAAAGCGGGGGAUCGCAAGACCUCGCGCGAUUGGAACGGCCGAUAUCAGAUUAGGUAGUUGGUGGGGUAAAAGCCUACCAAGCCUUCGAUCUGUAGCUGGUCUGAGAGGACGACCAGCCACACUGGAACUGAGACACGGUCCAGACUCCUACGGGAGGCAGCAGUGGGGAAUUUUGGACAAUGGGCGCAAGCCUGAUCCAGCAAUGCCGCGUGCAGGAUGAAGGCC